rnacentral:tRNA from 1 species
GGCCUGGUAGUUCAGUUGGUUAGAUCGCCAGCCUGUCACGCUGGAGGUCGAGAGUUCGAGUCUCUUCCAGGUCGCCA